rnacentral:tRNA from 1 species
CCGCCUUUAGCUCAGUUGGUAGAGCAGCUGCCUCUUAAGCAGACGGUCCUAGGUUCGAGCCCUAGAAGGCGGA